GAUGAACGCUGGCGGCAUGCCUAAUACAUGCAAGUCGAGCGAACCGACGAGGAGCUUGCUCCUCUGACGUUAUCGGCGGUGGGGUCAGUACCACGUGUAUAACCUACCUCUCAGACUGGGAUACCUUCGGGAAACCGGAUCUACUACCCGAUAAUAUAUCGCACCUCAUGGGUCCAUCGUUAAAGACGCUUUUUCUUUCACUUAUAGCUUGCCCCGGCCCGAAUUAACUAGUUGGUAAGGUAACUGCUUACCAACGCAACGAUGCGUAGCCGACCUGAGAGGGUGAUCGGCCAGACUGGAAGUGAGACACGGCCCAGACUCCGACGGGAGGCAGCAGUAGGGAAUCUUCCGCAAUGGGCGAAAGCCUGACGGAGCAACGCCGCGUGAGGGAUGAAGGUCUUCGGAUCGGAGAACGCUGUUGUUAGGGAAGAAGAAAUGCGUAAUUAACUAUGCACGUAUUGACGGUACCGAAACAGAAAGCCACGGCUAACUACGUG
rnacentral:rRNA from 1 species